rnacentral:rRNA from 1 species
UAGGGAAUUUUCGGCAAUGGGCGCAAGCCUGACCGAGCAAUGCCGCGUGAACGAUGAAGGUCUUCGGAUCGUAAAGUUCUGUUAUAGAGGAAGAACACUAGGUAUAGGAAAUGAUAUCUAGCUGACGGUACUCUAUCAGAAAGCUCCGGCUAACUACGUGCCAGCAGCCGCGGUAAUACGUAGGGAGCGAGCGUUAUCCGGAAUUAUUGGGCGUAAAGCGUGCGUAGGCGGUUUAUUAAGUCAAAUUUGAAAGCCCACAGCUUAACUGUGGAGGGUGAUUUGAAACUGGUAAACUUGAGUACGGCAGAGGUUAGUGGAAUUCAAUGUGUAGCGGUGGAAUGCGUAGAUAU